UACGGAGGGUGCGAGCGUUAAUCGGAAUCACUGGGCGUAAAGCGCACGUAGGCGGAUUCUUAAGUCAGGGGUGAAAUCCUGGAGCUCAACUCCAGAACUGCCUUUGAUACUGAGGGUCUUGAGUUCGGGAGAGGUGAGUGGAACUGCGAGUGUAGAGGUGAAAUUCGUAGAUAUUCGCAAGAACACCAGUGGCGAAGGCGGCUCACUGGCCCGGUACUGACGCUGAGGUGCGAAAGCGUGGGGAGCAAACAGGAU
rnacentral:rRNA from 1 species